AUUGAACGCUGGCGGCAGGCCUAACACAUGCAAGUCGAACGAGUGGCGGACGGGUGAGUAAUGUCUGGGAAACUGCCUGAUGGAGGGGGAUAACUACUGGAAACGGUAGCUAAUACCGCAUACCAUCAGAUGUGCCCAGGUGGGGUUAGUUUGUUGGUGGGGUAACGGCUCACCAAGGCGACGAUCCCUAGCUGGUCUGAAAGGAUGACCGUCCAAACUGGAACGUAGACACGGUCAAGACUCCUACGGAAGGCAGCAGAGGGGAAUAUUGCGCAAUGGGCGCAAGCCUGAUGCAGCCAUGCCGCGUGUAUGAAGAAGGCCUUCGGGUUGUAAAGUGCUUUCGGCAGGGAGGCGUUACCCACAGAAGAAGCACCGGCUAACUCCGUGCAAGCAGCCGCGGUAAUAC
rnacentral:rRNA from 1 species